GAUGAACGCUGGCGGCGUGCCUAAUACAUGCAAGUCGAACGCUGAAGGAAGGAGCUUGCUCUUUCCGGAUGAGUCGCGAACGGGUGAGUAACGCGUAGGUAACCUGCCUGGUAGCGGGGGAUCACUAUUGGAAACGAUAGCUAAUACCGCAUAACAGUAGAUGUUGCAUGAUAUCUACUUAAAAGGUGCAAUUGCACCACUACCAGAUGGACCUUCGUUGUAUUAGCGAGUUGGUGAGGUAACGGCUCACCAAGGCGACGAUGCAUAGCCGACCUGAGAGGGUGAGCGGCCGCACUGGGACGGAGACACGGCACAGACUCCUACGGGAGGCAGCAGUAGGGAAUCGUCGGCAAUGGGCGGAAGUCUGACCGAGCAACGCCGCGUGAGUGAAGAGGGUUUUCGGGUCGUAAAGCUCGGUUGUAAGGGAAGAAAGAGUGUGAGAGUGGAAAGUUCACACUGUGACGGUAUCUGACCAGAAAGGGACGGCUAACUACGUG
rnacentral:rRNA from 1 species